CCCUGCAGGCAUUUGAGGCCUCCCUCUGGAUAAGCCUGGCUUUAGGGAAUGUCCUCCAAGAGGCCAGUGCAGUGACAUUUGAGUCUCUUAGGUAGCCUAGGUGUGAAGUCUCAGGCUUCUCUCCUUGUGGACUUGGAGAAGGACAUCUAACCAGUGACCAAAUUUGAACUUACUUUUAGCGUGCGUGCUGAUAGUAUCUGAAUUCGGUUACAUAGGGUAUCUUGAUCGCCAGAGCAGUUUCUUCUAAAAUGUGGCAGGUGGAAUCUCUUCCCUUUAGACUUGUAAGUGGUAGUGGAGGAAGAUGGCUCUGUUCCUCUGUGGUAAACUUGCCCGAGUGCAGAAAUUAUAUUUAGCUUCUGCAAUAGGAGUCUGUAAAACUGGGGGGUGGGGGAGGCUUGCAACCCAGAGUCAGGCUUCGGAUCUUUGCCAGUGGUUCCAUAGGAGUUGCUGAGACCAGGGCAGCAUUUAAUGUUUGAUUUUUUCAGUUAACGUGUUUGUUUUCUUAAACAAUUAAAUUCGGCUGUAGGGGUAAUCAGUGUUGCUACUGAUAGACCUGAUAGUUGGUGGGGAAUCCAAAGUGUCCUCCUAGCCUGCUCAGUUCCCAGCGCAUAGUAGGCACUCAGGUUUUGUUGCCUGAAGAAAGGUCAAAAGGGUGAGCAAAUUGUCUGCACCAUGGCCUGUUUUAUACAGCCUGGGAACUAAGAAUGUUUU